GACGAACGCUGGCGGCGUGCUUAACACAUGCAAGUCGAACGGAAAGGCCCUGCUUUUGUGGGGUGCUCGAGUGGCGAACGGGUGAGUAACACGUGAGUAACCUGCCCUUGACUUUGGGAUAACUUCAGGAAACUGGGGCUAAUACCGGAUAGGAGCUCCUGCUGCAUGGUGGGGGUUGGAAAGUUUCGGCGGUUGGGGAUGGACUCGCGGCUUAUCAGCUUGUUGGUGGGGUAGUGGCUUACCAAGGCUUUGACGGGUAGCCGGCCUGAGAGGGUGACCGGCCACAUUGGGCCUUAGAUACGGCCCAGACUCCUACGGGAGGCAGCAGUGGGGAAUAUUGCACAAUGGGCGGAAGCCUGAUGCAGCAACGCCGCGUGCGGGAUGACGGCCUUCGGGUAGUAAACCGCUUUCGCCUGUGACGAAGCGUGAGUGACGGUAAUGGGUAAAGAAGCACCGGCUAACUACGUG
rnacentral:rRNA from 1 species